CCGUUCAGGGGUAAACCUGAGAAACCCAAAAGAUCGAAUGGGGAGAUUCAACGUAGACAGGAGCGAUUGCCGUGCGGUAUGCGAUGCUCGUUGCCUCGGCAAUGGGUACGCUAUCGCUGCGGUAUCAUUGCUCUUGUAGGCGUGCACUUCUCCCCUAGUAGGACGUCGCGACCCGUUGGGUGUCGGCCUACGGCCCGCAAGGUCGACUGUCGCUUGGGCGUUUACGCGCUUUUCGCGGCAGACCUGCGGUCGCCCGGCCGGCUGCCCGGCGGUAUUGAUCAUGAAUUGGUAUUUGGUCGCAUUUAUAAUGUGCGUUCUGGCUCGUCGGCAGGCUCGCCUCGCCCGGAUUUACGGACCUAGCGCCGUUGCCGGGUGCUUGGCGUUGUUGUUAGUCGGCGAUGUCCUCGGACAGGCCAUUACCGGUCGGCGACGCUACUGCUUUGGGUACUUUCAGGACCCGUCUUGAAACACGGACCAAGGAGUCUAACAUGUGCGCGAGUCAUUGGGACUUGUAUAAGCCUAAAGGCGCAAUGAAAGUGAAGGUCGUCCCUAGCGUCGACCGAGGGAAGAUGGUCGGCUUCACGGAGCCGGCUCGCAUUCCCGGGGCGUCUCGUGCUCAUUACGAGCAGAGGCGCACCUAGAGCGUACACGUUGGGACCCGAAAGAUGGUGAACUAUGCCUGGUCAGGACGAAGUCAGGGGAAACCCUGAUGGAGGUCCGUAGCGAUUCUGACGUGCAAAUCGAUCGUCGGAACUGGGUAUAGGGGCGAAAGACUAAUCGAACCAUC
rnacentral:rRNA from 1 species